rnacentral:rRNA from 1 species
GACGGAGGAUGCAAGCGUUAUCCGGAAUGAUUGGGCGUAAAGCGUCCGCAGGUGGCAGUUCAAGUCUGCUGUCAAAGACCGGGGCUUAACUUCGGAAAGGCAGUGGAAACUGAACAGCUAGAGUAUGGUAGGGGCAGAGGGAAUUCCUGGUGUAGCGGUGAAAUGCGUAGAUAUCAGGAAGAACAUCGGUGGCGAAGGCGCUCUGCUGGACCAUAACUGACACUCAGGGACGAAAGCUAGGGGCGCGAAUGGG